rnacentral:rRNA from 1 species
AUUGAACGCUGGCGGCAGGCUUAACACAUGCAAGUCGAGCGGGGGAAGGUAGCUUGCUACUGGACCUAGCGGCGGACGGGUGAGUAAUGCUUAGGAAUCUGCCUAUUAGUGGGGGACAACAUCUCGAAAGGGAUGCUAAUACCGCAUACGUCCUACGGGAGAAAGCAGGGGAUCUUCGGACCUUGCGCUAAUAGAUGAGCCUAAGUCGGAUUAGCUAGUUGGUGGGGUAAAGGCCUACCAAGGCGACGAUCUGUAGCAGGUCUGAGAGGAUGAUCCGCCACACUGGGACUGAGACACGGCCCAGACUCCUACGGGAGGCAGCAGUGGGGAAUAUUGGACAAUGGGGGGAACCCUGAUCCAGCCAUGCCGCGUGUGUGAAGAAGGCCUUAUGGUUGUAAAGCACUUUAAGCGAGGAGGAGGCUACUUUAGUUAAUACCUAGAGAUAGUGGACGUUACUCGCAGAAUAAGCACCGGCUAACUCUGUGCCAGCCGCCGCGGUAA